rnacentral:rRNA from 1 species
AUUGAACGCUGGCGGCAUGCCUUACACAUGCAAGUCGAACGGUAACAGGCCGCAAGGUGCUGACGAGUGGCGAACGGGGGCGUAAUGCAUAGGAAUAUGCCCAGUUGUGGGGGAUCACUACUCGUAAGAGAGGCUAAUACAGCAUAAGAUCUCAGGCUGACAGCGGGGGAAAGUAAGGGCUCGCGGGACUGGAGCGGCCGGUGUGAGAUUAGGUAGUUGGUGGGGUAAAGGCGCACCAAGCCAACGAUCUGUAGCUGGUCUGAGAGGACAACCAGCCACACUGGAACUGAGACACGGCCCAGACUCCUACGGGAGGCAGCAGUGGGGAAUUUUGGACAAUGGGCGCAAGCCUGAUCCAGCAAUGCCGCGUGCGUGAAGAAGGCCUUCGGGUUGUAAACUGCUUUUGUACGGAACGAAACGGCUCUGGUUAAUACCCGGCGCUAAUGACGGUACCGUAAGAAUAAGCACCGGCUAACUUCGUG